rnacentral:lncRNA from 1 species
UAAUUUUCAAUUUGCAAAUUUAUACUAUAUCCAUAAUGUAAGUAAAUAAAUAAGUUAUAGAGAGUGCAAAAUUUAAUAGUGGGCAUUGUAUGUUUUGAUUUAUACAUCUAAUUUUUGAUUUCAAUCAUUUAAAUCCUUAAAAAUUAGGGUAAAAGUCGUCCUUUCAAUUAUAUAUAUAUAUUUUUAAAAACCCAUAGGGUACCCGAAACCCGAUAGGGUAAAACCCGAACGGGUAAUUUAUAAAUCAAGACCCGCCCAAAAUAAACCCGCGAAUUUUGAAAACUGAAUAUACGGGUUUUGGUUUUUAAAUUCCAACCGGGUUUAGGGUACCCUAUGGGUAAAAACCCAUUGUUAACAUCCCUA